UUUUGGGAAGAAAAAAAGACUCGACCAAAAAGCUUUUACCGCAGAAUGGAUAAAGCUAAAGCUACUAUUUGGUCGAAUAGCAUAUAGGAUGCCCUGUGUGCCAAAUACAUGACCAAAUCCGUCAAUAAAUCACAGGAAGUAACAAAAAUCUAAGCACAAAGCUUAUUGCCCAUGGUCUAAACAAUGCAAAUUACAGGCAACUGACCACCUUUACCGCCUGUCUGCUUCAGUUUGAUCCCCUGUUGAGCUUUCUUUCUUAAUCGGCCCUAG
rnacentral:misc_RNA from 1 species